UCCGGUUUAACACCGGCAGUCUCCUUAGAGUGCCCAACUAAAUGAUGGCAACUAAGGACAAGGGUUGCGCUCGUUAAGGGACUUAACCCGACAUCUCACGAUACGAGCUGACGACAGCCAUGCAGCACCUGUACUCCCAGUCUCCGAAGAGAAAAUCCUAUCUCUAGGACUGUCUGGGGAUUUCAAACCCAGGUAAGGUUCUUCGCGUUGCAUCGAAUUAAACCACAUGCUCCACCGCUUGUGCGGGCCCCCGUCAAUUCCUUUGAGUUUUAAUCUUGCGACCGUACUUCCCAGGCGGGGCACUUAAUGCGUUAGCUUCGGCACUGCGGGGGUCAAUACCCGCAACACCUAGUGCCCAUCGUUUACGGCGUGGACUAC
rnacentral:misc_RNA from 1 species